rnacentral:rRNA from 1 species
UACGUAGGGUGCGAGCGUUGUCCGGAUUACUGGGCGUAAAGGGCGCGUAGGCGGUCGUGACAAGUCACUUGUGAAAUCCCCGGGCUCAACCUGGGAACUGCAUUUGUGACUGCAUGGCUAGAGUACGGUAGAGGGGGGGGAUGGAAUUCCGCGUGUAGCAGUGAAAUGCGUAGAUAUGCGGAGGAACACCGAUGGCGAAGGCAAUCCCCUGGACCUGUACUGACGCUCAUGCACGAAAGCGUGGGGAGCAAACAGG